rnacentral:lncRNA from 1 species
CUCACUUACACUCUUCCAUAAUGAGUCCUUGCCAUGUGGAAGGCACUCUGAAGAAUACAAAUAAGACUGUAAGAUGUAAUUCCUACUUCCACAAAGUAAAGCCCCCUGCAUAUAUGUUUACUGAUGUAAUGCACCUUAAGGUUAAUGACUCAAUGUUCAGUAACUACCAGCAGGAAUUUUCCCAGUAUUCCACAGAGCAUGAAUGGAUCAGGGCAUAUUUGUUUUCAGUCUUGAUAGAGUUGGCUCUUUGAGUGCCGCAGCCGACAGUGAUAGCCCAGCCUCAGCCAAUGUUAACUAGACACAAGCUGCAGAAAAGGCAUGGUGUGAAGUUGAUGAAGAAACCAGUUGAUAUUCAAUAUUGUUCCUGCUUCAGGAGCAACUUACAAAUAACGUGGUGGAACAGAGGACAUACGUCUAGGUAGAUGAUAGUUCAAAGACAUUUGUGGCCAUUAUCAAAUGAAUAGUCUAGAAAAUAAUAAUUAGAACUCAUCAGGGACAAGAAAGAAUCCUAUGGGCAGGGGAAGAUCCUCAGAGGAUGUGGGAUGUGAGCCAAGCUCUGAAGGAAUAAUGUAGAUGGAACCCAGAAUUCCAAGAUUCCAACCUUACUUUCUAGUCAAAACUCUACCAAUUGCCAGUGGUGAAGCUGGUAUAAGCCACGUAUCUCUGAGCCAAUUUUCUUAUCAUCAAAGUGAAGACAAUAGCACCAGCCAUACCUUCCUUAGGGCGUUUUGCAGGCUAAAUGAGAUAGUGGGUCCCUCGUUGGCUGCUCGUCAGAUUUCUCUCUUCAAUUCCAAGCGCAUCUUAUGUAAACAAUAGUGUCUAUGAUAGUGGAUGUGAUUGUGUGCUACCUGGAUCUCCUAGCUGAAAUCCUUCGAAGAAUUUCCUUCAGUCAAUGGGAGCCACCUCCCCUGAGGUUAUGGCUCCAGGUGAAGAUUAAACAGCUGUAGAAGUGUCAUCCAAGAUUGGCCAAUGCUGUUCCUGAGAGUCCUUCCUGGAGAGCCAUCUGCACACAGAUCUCAGUCUCAGAGUCUAUUUCCCAAUGAAUCUAAUCUGAGAGAUCUCUUCAUUUGCUGUUUUUUCCCUGUAUGAAAUAGUUACUUUGUUUUACUUUAUUUUAUUAAGUUCAGUGGUACAUGUGCAGGUGUGUUAUAUAGGUAAAUUGUGUGUC